GGAUUGGANAUGGGGGCACCCUGAUCCAGCCAUCCCGCGUGAAUGAUGAAGGCCUUCGGGUUGUAAAGUUCUUUUGACGGGGACGAUGAUGACGGUACCCGUAGAAUAAGCUCCGGCUAACUUCGUGCCAGCAGCCGCGGUAAUACGAAGGGAGCUAGCGUUGUUCGGAAUUACUGGGCGUAAAGGGCGCGUAGGCGGCUCGACAAGUUGGAUGUGAAAGCCCAGGGCUCAACCCUGGAAUAGCAUUCAAGACUGUCUUGCUUGAAUUCGGUAGAGGUUGGUGGAAUUCCCAGUGUAGAGGUGAAAUUCGUAGAGAUUGGGAAGAACACCCGUGGCGAAGGCGGCCAACUGGACCGACAUUGACGCUGAGGCGCGAAAGCGUGGGGAUCAAACAGGAUUAGAUACCCUGGUAGUCCACGCUGUAAACGAUGCAUGCUAGACGUCAGAGGGCUUAGCUCUCUUGUGUCGCAGCUAACGCACUAAGCAUGCCGCCUGGGGAGUACGGCCGCAAGGUUGAAACUCAAAAAAAUUGACGGA
rnacentral:rRNA from 1 species